rnacentral:rRNA from 1 species
ACGAACGCUGGCGGCGUGCUUCACACAUGCAAGUCGAACGGUGAAGCGAGUGCUUGCACUCGUGGAUCAGUGGCGAACGGGUGAGUAACACGUGAGUAACCUGCCCAUCACUCUGGGAUAAGCACUGGAAACGGUGUCUAAUACUGGAUACGACCAACCCUUGCAUGGGGUGUUGGUGGGAAGAUUUAUCGGUGAUGGAUGGACUCGCGGCCUAUCAGCUUGUUGGCGGGGUAAUGGCCCACCAAGGCGACGACGGGUAGCCGGCCUGAGAGGGUGACCGGCCACACUGGGACUGAGACACGGCCCAGACUCCUACGGGAGGCAGCAGUGGGGAAUAUUGCACAAUGGGCGAAAGCCUGAUGCAGCGACGCCGCGUGAGGGAUGACGGCCUUCGGGUUGUAAACCUCUUUCAGCAGGGAAGAAGCGAAAGUGACGGUACCUGCAGAAGAAGCACCGGCUAACUACGUG